GAUGUUGAUUUUAGUUUGAUAGUAGAAUAUAAAUAAAUGAACAAAACAAUAAUCAUAUGUUAUGUCAUUUAUGUACAGAUCUUGAGAAAUGAUAAUGUUCAGUGUUGUGUCCGACAUAUCGAGAGUGAAAUUUAAAAGUUUUCAACAAAAUGAAAUGAAGAAUGUUGAGUCAAUUAUUUUGGUUUCAAUCAUUUAUAUCAUAUAAAUAAAGAGGUUGUUGAAGAAGAUGAUAAUUGAUGAUUUGGAUCAACAACAACAACAACAACAACAAAAAUGUGAGAGACUGCUGCUGAUGAUUAACAAAAAAAAAAUCUGAGAAUACAGAAAAGUGGAAAAAGAAAAUGAACAAUACCGUUUUUCUCUUGGACGACGACAAUGACGAUGAUCACCAUUCUUUCAACAUGUUCAUUUCGGUUAUAUUUUCAUUCGGCUAGUUGGUCGGUUUCAGUUAUCGGUUGGUUGUCAGUCAUAUCGGGAUCAUAUUAUCACCACCAACUAUCGACGUGAAACAAAA